AAAUUGAAGAGUUUGAUCAUGGCUCAGAUUGAACGCUGGCGGCAGGCCUAACACAUGCAAGUCGAACGGUAACAGAAAGAAGCUUGCUUCUUUGCUGACGAGUGGCGGACGGGUGAGUAAUGUCUGGGAAACUGCCUGAUGGAGGGGGAUAACUACUGGAAACGGUAGCUAAUACCGCAUAACGUCGCAAGACCAAAGAGGGGGACCUUCGGGCCUCUUGCCAUCGGAUGUGCCCAGAUGGGAUUAGCUUGUUGGUGGGGUAACGGCUCACCAAGGCGACGAUCCCUAGCUGGUCUGAGAGGAUGACCAGCCACACUGGAACUGAGACACGGUCCAGACUCCUACGGGAGGCAGCAGUGGGGAAUAUUGCACAAUGGGCGCAAGCCUGAUGCAGCCAUGCCGCGUGUAUGAAGAAGGCCUUCGGGUUGUAAAGUACUUUCAGCGGGGAGGAAGGGAGUAAAGUUAAUACCUUUGCUCAUUGACGUUACCCGCAGAAGAAGCACCGGCUAACUCCGUGCCAGCAGCCGCGGUAAUACGGAGGGUGCAAGCGUUAAUCGGAAUUACUGGGCGUAAAGCGCACGCAGGCGGUUUGUUAAGUCAGAUGUGAAAUCCCCGGGCUCAACCUGGGAACUGCAUCUGAUACUGGCAAGCUUGAGUCUCGUAGAGGGGGGUAGAAUUCCAGGUGUAGCGGUGAAAUGCGUAGAGAUCUGGAGGAAUACCGGUGGCGAAGGCGGCCCCCUGGACGAAGACUGACGCUCAGGUGCGAAAGCGUGGGGAGCAAACAGGAUUAGAUACCCUGGUAGUCCACGCCGUAAACGAUGUCGACUUGGAGGUUGUGCCCUUGAGGCGUGGCUUCCGGAGCUAACGCGUUAAGUCGACCGCCUGGGGAGUACGGCCGCAAGGUUAAAACUCAAAUGAAUUGACGGGGGCCCGCACAAGCGGUGGAGCAUGUGGUUUAAUUCGAUGCAACGCGAAGAACCUUACCUGGUCUUGACAUCCACGGAAGUUUUCAGAGAUGAGAAUGUGCCUUCGGGAACCGUGAGACAGGUGCUGCAUGGCUGUCGUCAGCUCGUGUUGUGAAAUGUUGGGUUAAGUCCCGCAACGAGCGCAACCCUUAUCCUUUGUUGCCAGCGGUCCGGCCGGGAACUCAAAGGAGACUGCCAGUGAUAAACUGGAGGAAGGUGGGGAUGACGUCAAGUCAUCAUGGCCCUUACGACCAGGGCUACACACGUGCUACAAUGGCGCAUACAAAGAGAAGCGACCUCGCGAGAGCAAGCGGACCUCAUAAAGUGCGUCGUAGUCCGGAUUGAGUCUGCAACUCGACUCCAUGAAGUCGGAAUCGCUAGUAAUCGUGGAUCAGAAUGCCACGGUGAAUACGUUCCCGGGCCUUGUACACACCGCCCGUCACACCAUGGGAGUGGGUUGCAAAAGAAGUAGGUAGCUUAACCUUCGGGAGGGCGCUUACCACUUUGUGAUUCAUGACUGGGGUGAAGUCGUAACAAGGUAACCGUAGGGGAACCUGCGGUUGGAUCACCUCCUUA
rnacentral:rRNA from 1 species